AGACAAUUCGUUUUUAUACAGGAAAAAAUGAAAUUGGAUCAAUACCUGUAUCAGUUAACUAUUGUUACAAAACUGUAAUAUGGGCUGCUAAGGAGGUAGACAAACAUAGUCCCUGCCUUCCGAAAGAUCACAGCCUAGCAGAAGAGAGAGAUAACAUCCAUUUCAUUCAUGUCUACUCCACCCAACAGCUCCCUAAGGGCUGGAAACAUUCCUCAGUCAAAUGUGAGUUGGAUGGAUGGAUGGAUGAUGAUAAUGAAGAUUAAUUAUGUCAAAUCAACAAAGGAGGCUGUAAAUAAAGAGAUAGGGCAGGGAAGUGGGGAAGUGGAAUGCUCCAAAAAUGAGGAGUUAAGACUUGUGGUCCUACUCUUGGUUCUGCCACUUACUAGUGUUAACUUGGAUAAGUCGUCUAAGCUUUAAAUUUCAUGAGGGAGUUGGAGAAAAUGGCUGCCAAGAUCUCCUUUUUGUUCUUUUUCUUUUUAAUCAUAAAACGAAAUUCACCAAUUUUAAAAUCAGAUUGAAAAGUUCUUUCUGAUCCCAGCAUUUUUCCAAAUGAAUUGAACAAAUUCAAGUGUUUUAUAACUCUUGGCCCUUUUAAAAAUUAACUAUAAUUGAAGCAUCUUCUUGAACAGAGUUCUUUACAAAACACACACACACACACACACACACACACACACACACACACACACUUAAAUCCAAGCAAUUUCCUUGCAAU
rnacentral:lncRNA from 1 species